rnacentral:rRNA from 1 species
CUUGAACGCUGGCGGCAGGCUUAACACAUGCAAGUCGAACGAUGAUUAUCUAGCUUGCUAGAUAUGAUUAGUGGCGGACGGGUGAGUAGCAUUUAGGAAUCUACCUAGUAGUGGGGGAUAGCUCGGGGAAACUCGAAUUAAUACCGCAUACGACCUACGGGUGAAAGGGGGCGCAAGCCCUUGCUAUUAGAUGAGCCUAAAUCAGAUUAGCUAGUUGGUGGGGUAAAGGCCCACCAAGGCGACGAUCUGUAACUGGUCUGAGAGGAUGAUCAGUCACACCGGAACUGAGACACGGUCCGGACUCCUACGGGAGGCAGCAGUGGGGAAUAUUGGACAAUGGGGGCAACCCUGAUCCAGCCAUGCCGCGUGUGUGAAGAAGGCCUUUUGGUUGUAAAGCACUUUAAGCAGGGAGGAGAGGCUAAUGGUUAAUACCCAUUAGAUUAGACGUUACCUGCAGAAUAAGCACCGGCUAACUCUGUGCCAGCAGCCGCCGUAACAC